AAGAAAAGAAAACAUGAUUCAGUAAAUGUGCGAACCUUUGGCUGAAACGGCUUUAGCUCAGCGCUCUGGAAUUCUGGGACAUCUGUCGUACUCUCAACUGCAGUGUGGGAAAAAAGGCGACAUCUGACCUAGAGACGCUACUUCCUGUAGAGAAGUUUACACUGGGGGAGUCAGAACAGAGCUAAAAAUGGAGUCUGAAGCCGAGCCAGGACCGUUACUUCCUGUGGGUCAAUGAGAUGAGAGAUUCCUUUGUGAACAAGGCACAGGUCGACGCUGGAUUUGCGGAGAGACUAAAAUUAAAAAGCAGUGCUGUGCCGUCAAUAUUGGAUCCGACAGGAAUGGCGCAGCAAUCUUAUUAAGGGCGCGGAGAGAGGAUAUAAGCACCAGAGGAAGGCACAAUGGGAGAUGAGAGACGGACUCAACACUAGCUGCUACAGACCCAAACCUUCCAGUCAGCCAGGAGGACCUGCGCUGGCUUCCGAGCGACACAAGCCAGGCUGAGAGAGAAGCCGUGGACGUUUUUACUGUUUACUUUGGGUGCUCUAUUUCAUUUGGUUUUUGAAUAAAGCUGUGUCAGACUCGCCAACCUUGUCCUCUUCCUUCCUUCUAACAACGAACUCGCUACAGUGGCAUUGUGCAAAGUGCAAUGUUUUAGUGAAACAUUGUUACAUAUUAAAGCUUUAAGGCACAUAAUUUAGGCUUUUUUCCUGACCAGCCUUCAUAUGUGUUCAGAUGUUGACAAGACACUAUCGGCUAACUGAUCCACAACAUGAAAGCCUGCCACACCAAAACACUAGUUAACAGACAAAAUAAACAGCACACCUCACUGACAUUCUUGAUAUAAAGGGAUAUUCAAGCUUGUAGUGCAAUGUAUGCAAAACCAAACAGAACUUAAUCUAAAAGAAGGCAAACAU